CAGUGGAGUCUGAGCCGUGAAACGUGGUCUGGGUCCGACAGCCGGGUCACCAAAGGGGUUGAAAUCAAACUGCUUACCUUUUGGAGAACGCCUGCCCUCUGGACACUGAGUUGUAGUACCGACCAGGCAAGCAGAAGAACCUGAGGAGCUGCUUCGCUUCUCUUCCUCUUCAAUCACACUAUCGUCUCUUAACAAGGAGCUCAAAUCUGCAAGGCCAAUCAGGGUGACACAUCGGGUGAAAAGCAGCCGCUGUAAACCGAAGGGGUCGGCUCAGACAGGAGAUGUGAUGGAGACGCAGGUGGGAACAUGAGCG